CCCUUUCACAGGGGUCGCCUAAGACCAUCCUGCUCUAGGAGGUGAGCCUCGCUUACACUGUGGCUUCACCUUGGCAGACCACCAUGUAGUCCAGCAUAGGAAGCACAACAUUAAAGCUUUACUGCUGUUCACUUCAAAGAAAAUACAAAAGCUGUUUCUAGGGAUGUCACAGAAAACUUAAUGUUAUUAUCCUGACAUAAUUUCUAACUGCUUUUUUUUUUUAAUUGUCGCCGAAACUUUGCCACAAUCAUCUUUUUAUGCAGAGGAUAAAAGAAACAUAAAGUAGUUCACUUUUGUAAGUGCUGAGUUUAAGAUGCUUGGGGGCAUCUGGAGUUUGCAAAAGAGUUCUUUACUGGGAGAACAGAUUUGGGAGUUGUCAGCAAUUAAAGCUAAGGAAAUGAAUGGAGUGACUCAGAGUGUAUAUGUGGAGGGGAAGGAGGCUGACAUCAGACAGGAUACAGAAUCUAUGAAGGAGUCUGAGAAAUUGCCUUUUUAAGGGGAAAGAGAACCUGCAAAAUUCAUCACAGUACCUAGUGCAGUAUCUUCCUUGUGCAUAGAAGGCACUCAAAAAUAAUCACAUACAUUCAGCAAGUAUAUUCCUCCAUUCAAAGCACUGUGCUAGUAUAGAAAAUACAGGGAUCACUUUUCAAGGAUCCACAGGCCAAUUUGAGGGACAGAUAAUAAAUAAACGCAGCAUAGUAGACAGGUAGUAUGAAAGUGGUGCACACAGGCUUACUGGAGUACCAAGAAAGGAGGCCAAUAAAGAAGAACCUCGGAGGAAACAGCUGAAUCUUGAAGAAAGGACACUAGAAGAAGACACAGCUAUGAACCAGAAAGAUGGCCCUCACCAGAACCCAACCAUCCUGGCAUCUUGGUCUUGGACAUCCCAGCCUUCAGAGCAAUGAAAAAUAAAAUGUUGUUGUUUCUAA